UUUCUGGCCUUUUACCUAGCUACUGGGACAGAAUCUCCACAGGAAAACACUCCUCUUCUCGGGGAUCCCCCUCUGGUGUAGAUCGAUGUGACAGACUCUCAGAUUUUCAGCAAUCGGAAUGACCAAAAGGGCAAGCAGUUAUUACGGUUUGCAACACCUUCGAAGGAAUCGUUUUCUCAGACUCUUCAUAACUCAGAAAACACAGGCUUAGGCACCCUUCAUACUUCACAUGAGAACAUCCAAGG